UACGGGGGGAGCAAGCGUUGUUCGGAUUUACUGGGCGUAAAGAGCGCGUAGGCGGUCAGCACAAGUCAGUUGUGAAAUCUCCGGGCUUAACUCGGAAAGGUCAACUGAUACUGUGCGACUAGAGUGCGGAAGGGGCAACUGGAAUUCUCGGUGUAGCGGUGAAAUGCGUAGAUAUCGAGAGGAACACCUGCGGCGAAGGCGGGUUGCUGGGCCGACACUGACGCUGAUGCGCGAAAGCCAGGGGAGCGAACGGG
rnacentral:rRNA from 1 species